UGGUCGGAAUUGGAAUUGCAGCAUAGGGGAGUUGGAGACAUGAGGAUCCCUGAGAGUCACUGGUCAGCAGGUCCAACCUAAUUGAUAACCUCCAGGGCAAUGACAGAUUCUGUGUCAAAGGAAGAACAUAGCACUCCUUAGUGACUGCACAACCGUCUUCUGUUCUCUACUGCACAUCUGUACAUGUGCACCUCUGCAGAUGACUGACGUUGGCUGGAAUCUGAUUCCUGAGGAGCAGAGCUUGACCCUGGUGAUUAUAACCAGUGCUGGUAUUAACUGAGGGAGUGUAAAAGCGAGUUGGAUUUCAUGCUUCUCCUCUGGUUCCCACGAACCAAGGAAAGGUCUUCUCAAUCCAGUCAAAGUCACAGCCCUUCUCCUCCACUCCCUGCUCACAAUGUCUGACUGUUGGAAAGAGAAACGGGGUCCUUUACAGUUGAAU